AUUGAACGCUGGCGGCAUGCCUUACACAUGCAAGUCGAACGGCAGCACGGGGGCAACCCCGGUGGCGAGUGGCGAACGGGUGAGUAAUGCAUCGGAACGUGCCCCGUAGCGGGGGAUAACCAGUCGAAAGACUGGCUAAUACCGCAUACGCUCCACGGAGGAAAGCAGGGGAUCGCAAGACCUUGCACUAUGGGAGCGGCCGAUGCCCGAUUAGCUAGUUGGUGAGGAAAGGCUCACCAAGGCGACGAUCGGUAGCUGGUUUGAGAGAACGACCAGCCACACUGGGACUGAGACACGGCCCAGACUCCUACGGGAGGCAGCAGUGGGAAUUUGUAC
rnacentral:rRNA from 1 species